rnacentral:rRNA from 2 species
CUGGUCUUGACAUCCACGGAAGUUUUCAGAGAUGAGAAUGUGCCUUCGGGAACCGUGAGACAGGUGCUGCAUGGCUGUCGUCAGCUCGUGUUGUGAAAUGUUGGGUUAAGUCCCGCAACGAGCGCAACCCUUAUCCUUUGUUGCCAGCGGUCCGGCCGGGAACUCAAAGGAGACUGCCAGUGAUAAACUGGAGGAAGGUGGGGAUGACGUCAAGUCAUCAUGGCCCUUACGACCAGGGCUACACACGUGCUACAAUGGCGCAUACAAAGAGAAGCGACCUCGCGAGAGCAAGCGGACCUCAUAAAGUGCGUCGUAGUCCGGAUUGGAGUCUGCAACUCGACUCCAUGAAGUCGGAAUCGCUAGUAAUCGUGGAUCAGAAUGCCACGGUGAAUACGUUCCC